rnacentral:rRNA from 1 species
UGGGGAAUAUUGCACAAUGGGCGCAAGCCUGAUGCAGCCAUGCCGCGUGUGUGAAGAAGGCCUUCGGGUUGUAAAGCACUUUCAGCGGGGAGGAAGGCGAUAAGGUUAAUAACCUCAUCGAUUGACGUUACCCGCAGAAGAAGCACCGGCUAACUCCGUGCCAGCAGCCGCGGUAAUACGGAGGGUGCAAGCGUUAAUCGGAAUUACUGGGCGUAAAGCGCACGCAGGCGGUCUGUCAAGUCGGAUGUGAAAUCCCCGGGCUUAACCCGGGAAUUGCAUCUGAUACUGGUCAGCUAGAGUCUUGUAGAGGGGGGUAGAAUUCCAUGUGUAGCGGUGAAAUGCGUAGAGAUGUGGAGGAAUACCGGUGGCGAAGGCGGCCCCCUGGACAAAGACUGACGCUCAGGUGCGAAAGCGUGGGGAGCAAACAGG